UACGGAGGAUGCGAGCGUUAUCCGGAUUUAUUGGGUUUAAAGGGUGCGUAGGCGGCUUUUUAAGUCAGCGGUGAAAUUUUGCAGCUUAACUGUAACAGUGCCGUUGAUACUGGGGAGCUAGGAUUUGGUUGCUGUGGGUGGAAUGUGUGGUGUAGCGGUGAAAUGCGUAGAUAUCUGGAGGAACACCGGUGGCGAAAGCGGCUUUCUGGCGCAUAACUGACGCUGAGGCUCGAAAGCUAGGGGAGCAAACGGGGAUUAGAUACCCCCUGUAGU
rnacentral:rRNA from 1 species